UCCCCGAUAGCUCAGUUGGUAGAGCAACUGACUGUUAAUCAGUGGGUCACUGGUUCGAGCCCAGUUCGGGGAG
rnacentral:tRNA from 1 species